rnacentral:rRNA from 1 species
GACGAACGCUGGCGGCGUGCUUAACACAUGCGAGUCGAACGGAAAGGCCCUGCUUUUGUGGGGUGCUCGAGUGGCGAACGGGUGAGUAACACGUGAGUAACCUGCCCUUGACUUUGGGAUAACUUCAGGAAACUGGGGCUAAUACCGGAUAGGAGCUCCUGCUGCAUGGUGGGGGUUGGAAAGUUUCGGCGGUUGGGGAUGGACUCGCGGCUUAUCAGCUUGUUGGUGGGGUAGUGGCUUACCAAGGCUUUGACGGGUAGCCGGCCUGAGAGGGUGACCGGCCACAUUGGGACUGAGAUACGGCCCAGACUCCUACGGGAGGCAGCAGUGGGGAAUAUUGCACAAUGGGCGGAAGCCUGAUGCAGCAACGCCGCGUGCGGGAUGACGGCCUUCGGGUGGUAAACCGCUUUCGCCUGUGACGAAGCGUGAGUGACGGUAAUGGGUAAAGAAGCACCGGCUAACUACGU